AUUGAACGCUGGCGGCAUGCUUUACACAUGCAAGUCGAACGGUAACAGGCCGCAAGGUGCUGACGAGUGGCGAACGGGUGAGUAAUGCAUCGGAACGUGCCCAGUCGUGGGGGAUAACGCAGCGAAAGCUGCGCUAAUACCGCAUACGAUCUCUGGAUGAAAGCGGGGGACCGAAAGGCCUCGCGCGAUUGGAGCGGCCGAUGUCAGAUUAGGUAGUUGGUGGGGUAAAGGCCCACCAAGCCAACGAUCUGUAGCUGGUCCGAGAGGACGACCAGCCACACUGGGACUGAGACACGGCCCAGACUCCUACGGGAGGCAGCAGUGGGGAAUUUUGGACAAUGGGCGCAAGCCUGAUCCAGCAAUGCCGCGUGCAGGAAGAAGGCCUUCGGGUUGUAAACUGCUUUUGUACGGAACGAAACGGUCCGGGUUAAUACCCUGGGCUAAUGACGGUACCGUAAGAAUAAGCACCGGCUAACUACGUGCCAGCCGCCGCCGUAACAC
rnacentral:rRNA from 1 species